CAGUAGCCGCGGGAAUACAGAGGGUGCGAGCGUUAAUCGGAUUUACUGGGCGUAAAGCGUGCGUAGGCGGCUUUUUAAGUCGGAUGUGAAAUCCCUGAGCUUAACUUAGGAAUUGCAUUCGAUACUGGGAAGCUAGAGUAUGGGAGAGGAUGGUAGAAUUCCAGGUGUAGCGGUGAAAUGCGUAGAGAUCUGGAGGAAUACCGAUGGCGAAGGCAGCCAUCUGGCCUAAUACUGACGCUGAGGUACGAAAGCAUGGGGAGCAAACAGGAUUAGAUACCCCUGUAGUCCCUGUCUCUUACAC
rnacentral:rRNA from 1 species